CCUGGUGGCUCAGAUGGUAAAGCAUCUGCCUACAAUGCAGGAGACCCGGGUUCGAUCCCUGCGUCAGGA
rnacentral:tRNA from 1 species